GAGCCCGCUCCUUUGGGUAAGGACACUUAGCUGAUAAUUAAGUUGAAGAGGGUUAAAAUCCCUCCGGGUUUU
rnacentral:tRNA from 1 species